rnacentral:sRNA from 1 species
GCUGGGCAUGGUGGCGCAUGUUUGUAAUCUCAGCUGUAUAGGAGGCUGAGGCAGAAAAAUCUCAAGUUUGAGACUAACUUAAGCAACAUGGCAAGACCCUGUCUCAA